UUGACCUCGGAUCAGGUAGGAAUACCCGCCUGA
rnacentral:rRNA from 1 species